GGCAAUUCUUGGGUGACGUACCCUGAAAUCGGAGCCCCUCCUCUCUGGUUCUGGGUGCAUCAUCCGAGAACCGCA
rfam:Myotis brandtii contig285445, whole genome shotgun sequence.